rnacentral:rRNA from 1 species
GAUGAACGCUGGCGGCGUGCUUAACACAUGCAAGUCGAACGAUAAAGCCCAGCUUGCUGGGUGGAUUAGUGGCGAACGGGUGAGUAACACGUGAGUAACCUGCCCUUAACUCUGGGAUAAGCCUGGGAAACUGGGUCUAAUACCGGAUAGGAGCGUCCACCGCAUGGUGGGUGUUGGAAAGAUUUAUCGGUUUUGGGUGGACUCGCGGCCUAUCAGCUUUUUGGUGGGGUAAUGGCUCACCAAGGCGACGACGGGUAGCCGGCCUGAGAGGGUGACCGGCCACACUGGGACUGAGACACGGCCCAGACUCCAACGGGAGGCAGCAGUGGGGAAUAUGGCCCAGUGGGCGCAAGCCGGAGGCAGCGACGCCGCGUGAGGGAUGACGGCCUUCGGGUUGUAAACCUCUUUCAGUAGGGAAGAAGCGAUUGUGACGGUACCUGCAGAAGAAGCACCGGCUAACUACGUG